UGAAAGGCUGAACUUGUUUCUGCCCUGUCGCUCUGUCUACAUACUCAGGGACCAGGCCAGAUAAGUUCACCCAUGAGAUCCUUAAAGAUGAUGAGUCUAUUUUCUCUGGACAGAGAGUGCCCCGCCAUCGCCGCAUCUCUGUCAUCUGCCGGAACCUUCCUGUUUGAAGCAUGAGUGCCAAGAGGGACACAACUGUGACAGUCUCACUGGCAGUAGCCAGAGCUCGGUAUCUGAGACUUCAAGAACAUCACUGUGUUAAAAUUUGAUGUACACGCUUUCUCACUGUGCGAGAGACUGUUGGGAAAGAUGAUUUAGAUGUUUCCUUUAUCAGUUUUCAUUGGAGCACUUUUUUCUAAAUAAACUACCUGUACAGGAUUUGAUUGUGAAUUAAAUGUUGGGAAGGCAUUCAGAUAUGAUGCAGUUCAAAGGGUCAUAAUGCAUUACAAGACUUGUCAUAAGUAUCUAUGAACUUCUUAUGCUAAUUAACAUUAUAUAAUGAAUCUGAGUUAGCCUUUUCAAAAAUGACACAUAGAAAGGCAAGUUGAUAUGUUGUAGGAGAACCAGUUGAAGGAGAACCUGCAUUUUCUAUCCAAGAUCUGUACUAGGUAAUUACCAAUUGCUUUGAAUUCUUAGAGGUAAAUGGAUACUUCAAAUAGUUAUAGCCCUAUAUUUGACGUCGCUCAUGGGCGUUCUAGAAGGCUACAAUGCGGUGCCUGGGAAAUAACUGGUGACAUUUUUGUAGAAUACUUGUUUCAGGGGAAAAUCCUGUUACUGAUGGCAUAUCUAUAAUCUGUAACUCCUUGUCCAUCCAUCCAAAUUGUUAAAUGUGUGGAUAUCUGUAUAGAAACCGUCUGAAACUCUUCUCCAAACCGGCACCUAUAACCAGAGGAGUCUUGCCCAUGUCCUGUUUAAAAUGUUAAAAAAUCUGAUUAAAUGAAUGACUAAACUUCAUUUUUAAACCCACAUUUUAUCAUCAUUGUUUAAAAAAAGAUCUGUCAGUGGUAUUUAGUAUUUUAUUAGCAUCUCCAUUAGCUACUGCUCUUACUGGGGUCCACAAAAACAUGAUGUAACACAUCACAAGGAUAGAACUACAAUACAUACAUUUCAAAUAAUACUCUCUUUCAUACAUUUAUGCCUUCAUAAUCAUGUGAUUCAUACUGAAAUCAAGUGCAAUACACGAAAAUGAAAUAACAAGGAGGUUCCCCUGAUGUGAAUAAAUCGACCUUGUUUUGCUAAAUUCCCCUGACGUGAAUAAAGCUACAUUGUUUCUACAGUUA